UACGUAGGGUGCAAGCGUUAAUCGGAAUUACUGGGCGUAAAGCGUGCGCAGGCGGCUAUAUAAGACAGAUGUGAAAUCCCCGGGCUCAACCUGGGAACUGCAUUUGUGACUGUAUAGCUAGAGUACGGCAGAGGGGGAUGGAAUUCCGCGUGUAGCAGUGAAAUGCGUAGAUAUGCGGAGGAACACCGAUGGCGAAGGCAAGCCCCUGGGCCUGUACUGACGCUCAUGCACGAAAGCGUGGGGAGCAAACAGG
rnacentral:rRNA from 1 species